GACCUCAAAUCAGGUAGGACUACCCGCUGAACUUAAGCAUAUCAAUAAGCGGAGGAAAAGAAACUAACAAGGAUUCCCCUAGUAACUGCGAGUGAAGCGGGAAAAGCUCAAAUUUGAAAUCUGGCAGUUCUUUUGACUGUCCGAGUUGUAAUCUAGAGAAGUGUUACCUGUGCUGGACCAUGUACAAGUCUUCUGGAAUGGAGCAUCAUAGAGGGUGAGAAUCCCGUCUUUGACAUGGACUACCAGUGCACUGUGGUGCACUCUCAAAGAGUCGAGUUGUUUGGGAAUGCAGCUCAAAAUGGGUGGUAAAUGCCACCUAAAGCUAAAUAUUGGCGAGAGACCGAUAGCGAACAAGUACCGUGAGGGAAAGAUGAAAAGAACUUUGGAAAGAGAGUUAAACAGUACGUGAAAUUGCUGAAAGGGAAACGCUUGAAGUCAG
rnacentral:rRNA from 1 species